UCUCCCUUCCGCCCCCCUCGCUGCCCCGCUCGGGCGGGCGCUGCCCUGUGCCCGGCCUCCCCCGGCAGGCGCGCGGCAGCAGGGGGGCGGGGCGGGCGAGCAGGCGCGGAUCGCUCCGGCACGGGGCGUUGGGUUAGUGGGGGCGGCGGCCAGGGGGCUGUGGCGUGACUGGCACGGGCAGGGCCCAGCGGGCAGAGGAGCAGAUGGCUCAUUACCCGAGCCACAGCAGAACUAGAACUAGGGGCUGGAACCUGGACGUUGGGCAGAUCCAGACCGGAAACCAAGUGGAAAGUUUUUCCCCACUGUGAAAAUAAUUAGCCCUGGGAACAACUGCUGAGACUUCAUGAAAUUCUCUUUCCCCGUUAUGCUGGAGGUCCAGUUAAAUGACCAUAAUGAUCUAUUCAAGCCUUAAAAUCAUGAAAUUAUACACAGCACUGAUCUGGCAUGUACGUGAUGCCUGAGAUGUAACUCGGUCCUCAAGUACUACAGUCACAUUGAUUGGAAUCCACAAAAGUACCGAGACACCAAAGUCCUGUUUUCAGGCAUCAGCGUACACCAUAAAACUCAGCUCAGCAGCCACCCACCCAGGUAUAUGCCUCUAUAUAUGCAGGAAAAUAUUCCAAUGGCCCUUUCUGCUACCAACCAUCAGACGUAGUUUUUUCAACAUUACUGCUUUCCACAUUUCCACCUCCAAUUGAAUGUUUCAGCGCUUUCCCCCUAAAUUUACUAACAAGAAAAGCAUGGGCUUACAGACGUUACUCGUGUAAAACUUCCAUUGAAGGAAUAACUGCAUGAAGUCUGCAGGAAUGGACUCCCAGUUACAGAUUUUAAACUCCAGGAACCAAGAAGGGUUUAAUUUCCUAGGAUUUCAAUUACUUUAAGUUCAAAACUUCUGUCAGGAAUCUAUUGUUAUCAGGAGAAACCUUCAGGAACAUUAAUUAUGGAAUAGGGGAGUCACAAGAUGCCACUUUUGGAGAGUGGAUGCUGACAGCUGUAUUCUCUAUUGGUGGUUUUUCCUGUACCUAUCCUGUGGUGGUUCUAGCAUUGAGCAUUACUACUUCAAUGAACUUGUGAGGCAUAGGACAUUGUUGACAGGCCUUUCCUACCGUUUAACUGGACUUCUCCAAGUUCUCCUGUGCAAGCCCACACCUGCCACCUUUAUCUUGUGUUGGUGGCGUUGGGCCCCAGCUCAGUUUUGCAGCCCUCUUUCUCAAGGAAGUGACUUCAGGGGAAUAUUGCUUCUAUCGCUCUCUGAUGAGAAGCUUCGUUCAACAGCUGCCAACAUCAGGAAAAAAAUGGCACUUUCUGAUGAAAAGACUGCAAGAAACCCAGCAACUUUACAACCACUGCCAGUCUCCCACCAUAUGCCAAAUUCAGCAAAUCUUCCCCA